rnacentral:rRNA from 1 species
UGCGCAGGCGGUUUUGUAAGACAGGCGUGAAAUCCCCGGGCUCAACCUGGGAAUGGCGUUUGUGACUGCAAGGCUAGAGUAUGGCAGAGGGGGGUAGAAUUCCACGUGUAGCAGUGAAAUGCGUAGAGAUGUGGAGGAAUACCGAUGGCGAAGGCAGCCCCCCUGGGCCAAUACUGACGCUCAUGCACGAAAGCGUGGGGAGCAAACAGGAUUAGAUACCCUGGUAGUCCACGCCCUAAACGAUGUCAACUAGGUGUUGGGUGGGUAAACCAUUUAGUACCGGAGCUAACGCGUGAAGUUGACCGCCGUGGGGAGUACGGCCGCAAGGUUAA